UACGUAGGGUCCGAGCGUUGUCCGGAAUUACUGGGCGUAAAGAGCUCGUAGGUGGUUCGUCGCGUUGUUCGUGAAAACUCACAGCUCAACUGUGGGCGUGCGGGCGAUACGGGCAGACUGGAGUACUGCAGGGGAGACUGGAAUUCCUGGUGUAGCGGUGGAAUGCGCAGAUAUCAGGAGGAACACCGGUGGCGAAGGCGGGUCUCUGGGCAGUAACUGACGCUGAGGAGCGAAAGCGUGGGGAGCGAACAGG
rnacentral:rRNA from 1 species